rnacentral:rRNA from 1 species
UGUAGCUUGACAUUGGGUCUUGGUACUACAUGUACAGGAUAGGUGGGAGGCUUUGAAACCAGGACGCCAGUUUUGGCGGAGCCAUCCUUGGGAUACCACCCUUGUAGUACUGGGACUCUAACCAUAGACCAUGAAUCUGGUCUUGGGACACUGUCAGGUGGGCAGUUUGACUGGGGCGGUCGCCUCCCAAAAGGUAACGGAGGCGCGCAAAGGUUCUCUCAGUACGGUCGGAAAUCGUACGUAGAG